GGAUCGAUGAUGAUUUACAAUAAAACAUUCCUUGGAAAGCUGAACAAAAUGAGUGAAAAAUCAAAACCGCCACUAUCAUCGAGACUGAGGUCA
ensembl:snoRNA LOC120100319 small nucleolar RNA SNORD116